UCGGGAAUUUUGGGCAAUGGGGGAAACCCUGACCCAGCAACGCCGCGUGAAGGAUGAAGUAUUUCGGUAUGUAAACUUCGUAAGAAUAGGAAGAAUCAAUGACGGUACUAUUUGUAAGCUCCGGCUAACUACGUGCCAGCAGCCGCGGUAAUACGUAGGGGGCAAGCGUUGUUCGGAUUUACUGGGCGUAAAGGGCGCGUAGGCGGCGUGACAAGUCACUUGUGAAAUCUCCGGGCUUAACUCGGAACGGUCAAGUGAUACUGUUGUGCUAGAGUGCAGAAAGGGUAACUGGAAUUCUUGGUGUAGCGGUGAAAUGCGUAGAUAUCAAGAGGAACACCAGAGGCGAAGGCGAGUUACUGGGCUGACACUGACGCUGAGGCGCGAAAGCUAGGGGAGCGAACGGGAUUAGAUACCCUCGUAGUCCCUGAGCGGGCUGGCAAGGCGCAU
rnacentral:rRNA from 1 species